UCAGCGUCGUCUGCUCCUGACCGUCACGCUCCCCGCACCAUGUCGCGCACCACACAUCAAACAUAUGUACCAACCAUUUUUCCUUCGUAAUACCGCCGCCAAGCCCCUUCCAACGCCACCGCACCAAGCGAAAGAUACGAAAGAUCCUUGCCCUGGCUGUGGCAGCUCGCCCACAAUCUUCCACGUCACGAUGGAGUGCACUACAAACCUCUUUCCUCCUUUUCCAACUCUCCUUUACGCCCUACGCAACAAAGAGCUGUGGGACGAUGCCCUCCGCGACGGACCUCACGAGGUCCUCCGAGCAGCGAUACAACGGGCUCGAAACAUCGCCGGAAUCAUCUUAGGGACCCUGGACUGAGGGUUCCUCCCACACUGCUCUCGCCAUUCAAAUAUUGUUAAUAAAGAUGUUUUACUCUCUC